rnacentral:rRNA from 1 species
UACGUAGGGGGCAAGCGUUGUCCGGAUUUACUGGGCGUAAAGCGCACGUAGGCGGAUUGUUAAGUGAGGGGUGAAAUCCCAGGGCUCAACCCUGGAACUGCCUUUCAUACUGGCAAUCUUGAGUCCGGAAGAGGUGAGUGGAACUCCUAGUGUAGAGGUGGAAUUCGUAAAUAUUAGGAAGAACACCAGUGGCGAAGGCGGCUCACUGGUCCGGUACUGACGCUGAGGUGCGAAAGCGUGGGGAGCAAACAGG